AGAGUUUGAUCAUGGCUCAGGAUGAACGCUAGCGGCAGGCCUAAUACAUGCAAGUCGGGCGGCAAGUUGAGGAGUAAUCUGAGACCUAGAGCGGCGGACGGGUGCGUAACGCGUAUGCAACCUACCCUUUACCGGGGGAUAGCCCGGGGAAACCCGGAUUAAUACCCCAUAGUAUAUGAUUAUGGCAUCAUAAUUUUAUUAAAGAUUUAUCGGUAGGGGAUGGGCAUGCGUAGGAUUAGUUAGUUGGCGGGGUAACGGCCCACCAAGACUUUGAUCCUUAGGGGUUCUGAGAGGAAGGUCCCCCACACUGGCACUGAGAUACGGGCCAGACUCCUACGGGAGGCAGCAGUAGGGAAUAUUGGGCAAUGGGCGGGAGCCUGACCCAGCCAUGCCGCGUGCAGGAAGAAGGCGUUAUGCGUUGUAAACUGCUUUUAUACGGGAAGAAAAGGCCCAUGCGUGGGACAUUGCCGGUACCGUAUGAAUAAGCACCGGCUAACUCCGUGCCAGCAGCCGCGGUAAUACGGAGGGUGCAAGCGUUGUCCGGAUUUAUUGGGUUUAAAGGGUGCGUAGGCGGCUUUUUAAGUCAGCGGUGAAAGUCUGUGGCUCAACCAUAGAAGCGCCGUUGAUACUGGGAGGCUUGAGUGCCGUAUGGGUACAUGGAAUUGAUGGUGUAGCGGUGAAAUGCAUAGAUACCAUCAGGAACACCGAUAGCGUAGGCAUUGUACUGUGCGGCAACUGACGCUGAGGCACGAAAGCAUGGGUAGCGAACAGGAUUAGAUACCCUGGUAGUCCAUGCCGUAAACGAUGAUCACUCGCUGUUAUGUCCCUUGAGGCGUAGCGGCCAAGCGAAAGCGUUAAGUAUCCACCUGG
rnacentral:rRNA from 1 species